rnacentral:rRNA from 1 species
AUUGAACGCUGGCGGCAUGCCUUACACAUGCAAGUCGAACGGCAGCACGGGUGCUUGCACCUGGUGGCGAGUGGCGAACGGGUGAGUAGUGCAUCGGAACGUACCCAGUAGUGGGGGAUAACUACCCGAAAGGGUGGCUAAUACCGCAUAUACUGUGCGCAGGAAAGCAGGGGACCGUAAGGCCUUGUGCUACUGGAGCGGCCGAUGUCAGAUUAGCUAGUUGGUGGGGUAAAGGCCUACCAAGGCGACGAUCUGUAGCGGGUCUGAGAGGAUGAUCCGCCACACUGGGACUGAGACACGGCCCAGACUCCUACGGGAGGCAGCAGUGGGGAAUUUUGGACAAUGGGGGCAACCCUGAUCCAGCCAUGCCGCGUGAGUGAAGAAGGCCUUCGGGUUGUAAAGCUCUUUCGGACGGAAAGAAAACGGAUGGGUUAAUACCCUGUUCGGAUGACGGUACCGUCAUAAGAAGCACCGGCUAACUACGUG